CAAAUCAUUGUGCGCGUUUCUUCCUCGCGACAGAGCUAGGGCACCAACGGUCGGCGGCCACUUCUCCUGAUUCACUGCCGCCGGCCGGAGCUUGUCCCUCACCUCCCGCGGUCAUCUCCUAUCCACAGCCACACUUCCUCUUCGGGAUUUCCAACGGCGUGCGGGCUAGGGCGACAACGACGGCAAGCCAUUCCAGGCGGCAAGCUUCGGCUCCGAUCAUCCACCUCACCGGAGGGGUUCUCCGGUGAGAUUCUUCACCUUCCGGCCAUCCCUGCCGUUUUCCCAGCAGCAGCUCUUCUCCAACAGACCUGGACAGAACCUCACAGCUCCGCCUUCAUCAGAUCCCGAACAGCAGCCUCUUCGUUCCACCAAGUCCGAACAGCAAGUUUAUUCUCCUAUUGUUGAUUCUGUGGUUUGCAUGGUUGAAGAUUUGAUACAUAAAGGAAAAAUUAUGGAAGCAGUUCCAAAGACAAGAGAAAGGUCAAGAAGUUGUAGCCCUCGGCCUAGGUUCUUCAUAACAUUGUUGUUGCAGAAUACUUUCACUGGAAUAUGUUACGUGAUUCAAUAACUCCUAUUUUUCCACUGGAUUGUUAAUCUCUUUUUGAUUUUGUGGAUAACUUUGCUACAAACUAUGCUCUGAAGAGAGUUUAUUAUGUCAACUAUGCAUUGGGGAUAUCUGGACGCAGGAAACCUUGCUGGCAUCUAUUAUGAACAAAGUCAACUUGACAUGGCAAUUCUGCAUUACAAGCAAGCUAUCAACUGUGAUUCUACCUUUAUUGAAGCUUACAAUAAUCUGGGGAAUGCUCUCAAAGACGCUGGACAUGUGGAAGAGGCUAUCAACUUCUAUAGGUCAUGCCUUGCUUUACAACCCAACCAUCCACAAGCAUUGUCAAGCCUUGGCAACAUGAUGACAAGCUUUAGAAAUGUUUGAUGACAACUGUGCGGAUAGUUUAUUUUUGUUCCUUAAUGAAACUUCUCUUCAUGCUGCAACAUGAUGAGUGUUGCUGCAUCAUUCUAUAAGGCAACUUUAGCAGUUACAACAGGGAUAUAUGUGCCCUUCAACAACUUGGCUAUUAUAUACAAGCAACAGGGAACUUAUGCAGAAGCAAUAGCCUGUUACAAUGAAGUUCUUCGCAGACUGUUUAAUGCAAAAGCGAUAGCCUGUUGCAUAUUGCCUCAUUUAAUGGAAGAAUGUUUGUGUAUUUUAUGGAUACUGUUGUAAGAAGAAUAUUUAUGUAAUUUGUGAAUAUUUGUGUAUUUUAUGGAUACUGUUGAAUGAAGAAUAUUUGUGUAAUU